rnacentral:rRNA from 1 species
AGUGAACGCUGGCGGUAGGCCUAACACAUGCCAGUCGAACGGCAGCACAGUAAGAGCUUGCUCUUACGGGUGGCGAGUGGCGGACGGGUGAGGAAUACAUCGGAAUCUACUUUUUCGUGGGGGAUAACGUAGGGAAACUUACGCUAAUACCGCAUACGACCUACGGGUGAAAGCAGGGGAUCUUCGGACCUUGCGCGAUUGAAUGAGCCGAUGUCGGAUUAGCUAGUUGGCGGGGUAAAGGCCCACCAAGGCGACGAUCCGUAGCUGGUCUGAGAGGUCGGUCACCCACACUGGAAGAGAGACCUGGUCCAGUGACCUCCGCGACGACGCAGAGGGGAAUAUUGGGCAAUCGGGGCAAGCAUGAUAAAGUCAAACCGCGUCAGUAACGAAAGCCCUCCGUGUGGAAAGACCUUUUUUUGGGAAAGAAAAGCAGCAGGUUAAUACCCCGCGGUUCUGACGGUACCCCAAGAAUAAGCACCGGCUAACUUCGUG